rnacentral:rRNA from 1 species
CUCAGUUCGGAUUGGAGUCUGCAACCCGACUCCAUGAAGCUGGAUUCGCUAGUAAUCGCGCAUCAGCCACGGCGCGGUGAAUACGUUCCCGGGCCUUGUACACACCGCCCGUCAAGCCAUGGAAGCCGGGAGUGCCUGAAGUACGCGACCGCAAGGAGCGUCCUAAGGUAAAAACCGGUGACUGGGGCUAAGUCGUAACAAGGUACC